rnacentral:rRNA from 1 species
UAUCCUGGCUCAGGAUGAACGCUAGCGGGAGGCCUAACACAUGCAAGCCGAGCGGUAGAAGAUCUUCGGAUCUUUGAGAGCGGCGCACGGGUGCGGAACACGUGUGCAACCUACCUUUAUCAGGGGGAUAGCCUUUCGAAAGGAAGAUUAAUACCCCAUAAUAUAUCAGAUGGCAUCAUUUGAUAUUGAAAACUCCGGUGGAUAGAGAUGGGCACGCGCAAGAUUAGAUAGUUGGUGAGGUAACGGCUCACCAAGUCAAUGAUCUUUAGGGGGCCUGAGAGGGUGAUCCCCCACACUGGUACUGAGACACGGACCAGACUCCUACGGGAGGCAGCAGUGAGGAAUAUUGGACAAUGGGUGAGAGCCUGAUCCAGCCAUCCCGCGUGAAGGACGACUGCCCUAUGGGUUGUAAACUUCUUUUGUAUAGGGAUAAACCCAGAUACGUGUAUCUGGCUGAAGGUACUAUACGAAUAAGCACCGGCUAAUUCCGUG